CGAGGCGCCGUGGAGGGGAGUCGCGGGCACUGGAGAGAUUCGCGUGUCCUUCAUAGAACUUUCCCUUUAUCUUCGUCUGGGGCGGAUGCGAGAUUCCCGGGCAAGUGGAGCAGGUGUCUUGACUGCGCGGGCGGCCGUCUUCGGGGCUAUUCCAGGAAACUCGACGCUAAUGGUCCAAAGGAGGCAGGGCUGCGAGGGGCGACGCCGCGACAGGACCCGACGACCCCGUGCCCGUCACACAGUCAUCAGACUUCAAUAAGACCAGACAGUCGCACUUCUGCUUAGUUUCAAUUUAGUUUUGUAGUUCUCUGAAUUAACGUAGAGCAGGGGGUCAGCGAGAAGAGAGGUUUGAUGAGGAGAAGAGCAGAGACAAUGAUUUUGUUUAGCCGGGGAUCCAUUUGUCAGUGAAGUGUGUCAGUGUCGGGGAAAAGGUUAGAAUCAUCAAUUUGUCAGUACCGUGAGGAAUUACGCAGUGGAGCGAUUUUUACAGACAUUAAUGGCCACGGAACUCUUACGGAGUCUACUUGCUAUCCGCGAGUGAAGACACAUGUAGAGUCCUGUAUUUAUCCGUUAACCCAGCCCGUGUUUUCAUUGUCUGAUUGCAUUAGCGUAAGCUUGUAUAACAGAUUAAUUCGAACACUAAUGCCGGGACACAUUGCACAUUGCGUAGUUUUCUCUUCAUACGAAUUUUUGGUUCACUAACGUGAAGACUUCACGGAUAAAUGAACGUCCGGCCUUAGUGUGGCAGCACGUAAUUUUUGCCCCAGCACUUAUUUGUUGGACCAACACCACAACGCCAGGAAGAACUGCGUAGCCGCACUGUUAAAAGAAUAUGCUGAAUGCUACGCUCUUCCUGUACUCUGCAUUGCUAGGAAAGUUCUCGACAAUACAACACUACAAUGUAACGAAGUAUGAGUAUUCUCUGUUAGUAUCUGCUGUUUGUGGUAGUAUUACAGAGAACUUUCAGUAACACAGUACAGGAAGAGCGUAUCAUAAAGCACAAUCUUAACAGUACUACAGCUACGCAGCUCUCUUCCCUCACGUCGUUGUGUUGGUCCAACAAAUCGAGACAUGCUGCAGCAUUUAUUACGUGCCGCCACGCCAAGGCCGCGGAGGGAGUCUCCCCGUCCAUGAGGUAAAAGAUCGCAUGAUCAAAAAAGUACGUAAUGUGCAUUAUGCCCCGACGCCAGUACCAAAACGAAUGAAUCGGUUAUACAAUCAUAAGGUAAUGAAGUUGGAUAAUGAUGUUUCAACACAGAUUAGCUCAGCGGAAAAAUACUGGAGUGUACAUAACUCCCAACUCGCCGUAUAUCAAGUGGACUCCACAACAGGUUCCGUGGCCAUUAGUGUCGUAAAAAACGCUCCACUGCGCAAUUCCUCACGGAAACGAACACGAGACAAACAUGAACUGAUAAGUCACUGACAAAUGGGAGGCCCGGCCUGAGAAAACAAUCACUAAACCUCUCUCUGUUCAACGUUGUUUUACGGAGAAACCAGAGAGAUUACAACGUCCAAAUGUUGAAAUGCACACUAUACAUGUGUAAACUCACAGCCCUGUUUGUUAUGUAUUUAGAGGAGUCCACCAGUGACGUUUCCGCUGUAGUAUAUAUAACAUGAAUACAAGCGAAGGGCGAGAGAACCAUUUGGUGUUCACGCUGAGCAAGAGUGACUUAACUCGACAUGAUGAAUGAACAGACGCAGAGUAAAUCAUUGUCAACACUAUACUAAGAGGUUCUCCCUCACUCCCUAGCUUGCAUUCUUGCUAUUCUACGGCGGAAAUCUCACAUUAGUCUCCCCUAAAUAACGCCCCUAAACAGAGCAUGUUCUACACAUUUUAAGAGUUCACAGCGAGUUACAUAACCACCGAAGCCAGAGGGCGAGCUGGAGGAGGGCCGCUACUGCACAACGUUGGCAAGGGACAACAUUAGUUGUGUUUGUUUACGUGGCCUGUAAGCUUUGUUACAUAUGAAAUUUAAACUGGC